UGGGGAAUUUUGGACAAUGGGCGCAAGCCUGAUCCAGCCAUACCGCGUGAGUGAAGAAGGCCUUCGGGUUGUAAAGCUCCUUCAGCCGGAAAGAAAUCGCACUGGUUAACACCUUGUGUGGAUGACGGUACCGGAAGAAGAAGCACCGGCUAACUACGUGCCAGCAGCCGCGGUAAUACGUAGGGUGCGAGCGUUAAUCGGAAUUACUGGGCGUAAAGCGUGCGCAGGCGGUUUUGUAAGACAGGCGUGAAAUCCCCGGGCUUAACCUGGGAACUGCGUUUGUGACUGCAAGACUAGAGUGUAGCAGAGGGGGGUAGAAUUCCACGUGUAGCGGUGAAAUGCGUAGAUAUCGGAAGGAACACCAGUGGCGAAGGCGGCUUCCUGGGUCUCUUCUGACGCUGAGGCGCGAAAGCCAGGGGAGCAAACGGGAUUAGAUACCCAGGUAGUCCCUGAGCGGGCUGGCAAGGCGCAU
rnacentral:rRNA from 1 species